UCGACCGCCUGGGGAGUACGGCCGCAAGGUUAAAACUCAAAUGAAUUGACGGGGGCCCGCACAAGCGGUGGAGCAUGUGGUUUAAUUCGAUGCAACGCGAAGAACCUUACCUACUCUUGACAUCCAGAGAACUUAGCAGAGAUGCUUUGGUGCCUUCGGGAACUCUGAGACAGGUGCUGCAUGGCUGUCGUCAGCUCGUGUUGUGAAAUGUUGGGUUAAGUCCCGCAACGAGCGCAACCCUUAUCCUUUGUUGCCAGCGGUCCGGCCGGGAACUCAAAGGAGACUGCCAGUGAUAAACUGGAGGAAGGUGGGGAUGACGUCAAGUCAUCAUGGCCCUUACGAGUAGGGCUACACACGUGCUACAAUGGCAUAUACAAAGAGAAGCGACCUCGCGAGAGCAAGCGGACCUCAUAAAGUAUGUCGUAGUCCGGAUUGGAGUCUGCAACUCGACUCCAUGAAGUCGGAAUCGCUAGUAAUCGUGGAUCAGAAUGUCACGGUGAAUACGUUCCCGGGCCUUGUACACACCGCCCGUCACACCAUGGGAGUGGGUUGCAAAAGAAGUAGGUAGCUUAACCUUCGGGAGGGCGCUUACCACUUUGUGAUUCAUGACUGGGGUGAAGUCGUAACAAGGUAAGUAUU
rnacentral:rRNA from 1 species